rnacentral:rRNA from 1 species
UACGUAGGGUGCGAGCGUUAAUCGGAAUUACUGGGCGUAAAGCGUGCGCAGGCGGUUGUGCAAGACCGAUGUGAAAUCCCCGGGCUUAACCUGGGAAUGGCAUUGGUGACUGCACGGCUAGAGUGUGUCAGAGGGGGGUAGAAUUCCACGUGUAGCAGUGAAAUGCGCAGAUAUCAGGAAGAACACCCGUGGCGAAGGCGGCUCUCUGGAACGCAACUGACGCUGAGACGCGAAAGCGUGGGGAGCAAACAGG